rnacentral:lncRNA from 1 species
CAGAAUCAUUUCUUCAACGAAAUGCCAUAAUAUACAUUGCUCUUCAACAUUACAUGUCUUUACAAGAUAAAAAUUAAAUUAAAAGGAAAUGAUAAGAGUAAUCAAAAUGACAAGGGAUGUUAAAGACAUGGUAUGUGAAAAUGAGAGUUAUACAUCUAUGAAAUAAGUGAAUGCACCUGUUGUUAGAAAUGGAGUUAAUGUGAUAGUCAUGGGCAUGAGCAUAUAUUCUCCGACACCUAGGCACAAGGCUGAUUUCACUACUGGUCAACUGGAUCAGUAAAAAUGAAAGAGGUGUUAGAACCAGAGAUCACAAAAGUAGAGAAUAUUAUAAUAAGCAUUUUCAGAUGUCAAAAUCAUGAUUUCCAUGAGCAGACAAGUAUAUUAGAGUGAAAAAGACUACCACGGUAAGUGUAGAGACGGGACACCCCCAAGUGGGAAAGAAAAGUCAUUGCUCAAGCCCACGGGUUUAUCCAAACAUCCUCCAUUUGCAGUAUAUGGUUUGGAGCUUGUUGGUAUGCUUGGACCUACAACAGGACCAUUUCCAGCAGCUUU